UUACAUUUAUUUAUGUUAUUUGUUAUAUACAUAAUAUUAUUAUUAUGUAAUAUAUGAUAUGAUGAUUUCAUGAUUUACAUUUAGAUUUGUUCUCUUGUGUUUGGUAAAGUUAUUUUUCUGGUUAUUAGCUGUUAUUUUCUCAGUUUUUACAUUAAACUCAGAUUAUCUUCCACGGAAUUAUGAAAAAUAUCCUUGUGUAGCUUUCUUUCUUUUGAGGAAAUGUCACAGGGAAAAAUAUCAAAUGGUCCAUGGUUUUUAUUAAUUAAGAGGCAAUUAUGGGAAUCAUUUGAUGUGGAUAGAUAUUAUAUUAACAGUUGGUGUUUGACGUGUAUAUAUGUAUGUUGGUAUUCAUUUGAUGUGUAUUUGCCAGUUGGUGUUUAGUUUGUUUUUUUGUUUUUUUGUUUUUAACAUAGCUGAACAGUAUUAGUAAACCAUGUCAUGCACAGAUAUGGACAGAUUAAUGAAUAAUUGAAGUGGACACUACAAAGACCAAUAGGAGAAGAUUAAGAAUAAUAUUUCACUUACAAUCACAAAUUAAUUUAUGUACAAAGACAUGGUAUGUUCUUAUGUCAUAAGAAAAACAAAUCUUUCUUGCAAUAAGGAAAAAUUCUAGACAUCUUAUCCCAAAAUUUGUCUUUGUCUACUAAUUCAUACGAUGAGAUUUUGCAUACAUAAUAUAUCAGUUAAUCAUCUUUGUUUUUUUCCUUUACACAAGUCCUGCAAUGAGCUUUAAGUAUAUUUCUCAACUUAAGCCCCCGGGCCAAAACCAGAUAGUCAAGAUCAGAGUAACAAGGAUAUGGGAUUGUUAUGUCCCAACUUCAAACAGGUUUCUUGGUAUUGCAUUCUUGGCAUCUGAUAGCCAGGUACUUCAAGAUAGUUUUACAGAUAUACAUACUUAUUUAGAAGCUUUAAGUGAUAUAACACAAAUCAUUAUGCAUAUACACUGUAAUUUACAAUGGACACAUAAUUACUAGGGAGAUGCGAUACAUGUUCAAAUCAGGGAUUUUGAUUGCCCAAAGUUUCAAGAAAAACUUAUUGAAGGUUCAGUCUACAAGAUUGCUAAAUUCCAAGUAGUUAGACCGAAUAUCCGAUAUUUAUCAACCACAAGAGAAUUUGCUAUCCUUUUUAGCUCCAUUACCCAGCUGGCAUUAAUACCUGAUGAUCCUACUCCCUAUCCUCGAUAUCACUUUGAAUUUCUAGAUCGGGAAAAAAAUGGCAUCGCAAGCAAAUUCUGACAAAUAUUUGAUAGGUAAAAUUAUUCCUACAAAAUUUAAAUAUAUUAUUGUUUUGUUUAACUAUAAACUAAUGACUGAAUUUAUUAUGUAAAUGCAAUUGGAACCUUAAUAUCCAUUGGCCCAAUUCAGAAUGUUCAAUUGACCAAAUAUGAAAAAAUUAUGGAAAAAAGAGAUAUUAUACUAAAAGAAGCAAGUGGUGAUGAGUUGAAGAUAACAGUAUGGGAAUCAACUUUUCCUCAAUUAAAUGCCAACAAACUCCUUCAGAUUCGACCAAAUCCUGUGCUUCUAUUUGUUGGAACAAUUAUAAAGACAUUCUAAGGAAUAAUCUAUCUAGCUUCAACUUCAGCUACGAAGAUCUAUAUCAAUUUGGAUAUUCCUGAGACAAGCAAUACAACAACAACCAAAGCUUGGAGAACAACCAGUGCAAUUACUAGCUUUUUCAAGUGAAAUUCCAAAUAUGCAACAAAGAAUUCAAGAAGCUAAAUAUGCUACAAUUGCUCAGAUGUUGCAAUUUUCACCUGCUACAAUUGGUAACACACUAUUUACAUGUGAUGCUUGGGUAGAGCAAAUCGAUACUUCAAAUGGUUGGUUCUUUUAUUCUUGCAAUAUAUGCAAAAAAGUCAUGAUUGAAACAGAAAUGGGUGAGCUUGCUUGCUAUGACCAUGGCCAAGGAAUUCCAAAGUUGACAUAAGUGUUGCAAACACUAAUAUAUAUAGUUCUUACGUUAUUAAGUAACAUUUAUAUUGCCCUACCCUUUUACAGGUUAAGACUGCUGAUGAUAAUUAAAGAUGAAACUGCUGAUAUGGAAAUUACAGCUUUCGACAAACAAGCUGAAUUAAUGACAAAUCUUAAUGUGGAUUUUUUGCAAGCUAUUGAAGAAAUAUCACAGACAAUAGUUCCAGAGAAAAUAGCUGCUAUAGUGAAGAAAAAAUUUACCUUUACUAUUCUCCUGCCUCCAAAAGCGAUUAAAGAUGAUAUCUUGACUUAUAGAAUUUACAGAAUAAAGCCAAUUCAACUAGAAGGCCAACGUUCUACCCAAACACAAAAAAGUACAACUAGCAUUUACCCAAUCCGCUAUGGAUGAUAAAUCGGAGAAUACGGAAACAAAACCCCAAAAUGACACACUUGAAUCCUUUUUACAAGUUGGCCUUCCACAAGAUUUAGCUUUAGUAGAAUCUCCAGCUAAGAAACAGAGAAGGGGAAAGGAGAAGAUUGAAUGAAAAAACUUUGAAGACAUGAACAACAAGAAACUCCGCAUGAAAAUUGGCAAAGCACAAGAAGGACAUACAUCUUCUGCGAAAAAAAUGUUAAUUACUUUAACUACUUUGAAGUUUGCAAAUUAUAUGAGUGUUUAAAUAAUGUGUAUGUUGGUGUAGCCUGUAAUGUUUAAUUGUUCUUGAAAUGUUCAUUUUGUUGUAAAGUUUUACAG